UAGUGACUUAGCGGCGACGGGUGAGUAACGCGUGGGCAACCUGCCUUGUACAGGGGGAUAACAGUUAGAAAUGACUGCUAAUACCGCAUAAGCGCACAGCAUGACAUCAUGCAGUGUGAAAAACUCCGGUGGUACAAGGAUGGGCCCGCGUUGGAUUAGCUUGGUUGGUGGGGUAACGGCCCACCAAGGCGACGAUCCAUAGCCGGACUGAGAGGUCGAACGGCCACAUUGGGACUGAGACACGGCCCAGACUCCUACGGGAGGCAGCAGUGGGGAAUAUUGCACAAUGGAGGAAACUCUGAUGCAAGCGACGCCGCGUGAGUGAUGAAGUAUUUUCGGUAUGUAAAGCUCUAUCAGCAGGGAAGAAAUUGACGGUACCUGACUAAGAAGCCCCGGCUAACUACGUGCCAGCCGCAGC
rnacentral:rRNA from 1 species